CCAAAUUUAGGGUUUUUUUUCAAAACCACCUUCUCUCGAACCUUCCCAUCGUGUUUAAAUAGAGCCGCGGAGAAUAAGGUAUACAGAACAAACCAAGAAGGAUGAUGGUUACCUGUAAGGGAGUGAAUACCUGGUCACCAGCAGAAUCCCGGGAUGAACUUCAAAGACCAAGAUCUGGGAGAGGGCUCUCAAUUAAUCUUCAUCGAAUCAAUGAUCUACCAGAAUAUAGGGCUAGCCCUUCAGGACUAUUAGCGGGAGAUCCCCCAGAGAAAUCGAAGAGCAUGAGAAGGGUCCUGGCGGGUGAUCGGAAGCAACAGUUGGAGUAGGAGGAGAUAUAAUCUGCACUCCUACUGCCAACAAGAAACGGCGAGCCUCCUAAGCCACCCUGGUCUUCAGCUCUUCUAGUGAGUUCAACGACUUCAACUGUUGCCAAGUAUGUCUGGAAGAGUCUUCAGUGGUUGGAGGGGAAGCUGAAUCUCAGAUGGAACACACAUACUUGUCUCUGGGAAGCGUGUCGCGAUACUUAUGUAUAGUACGGACACUGGAAUCUGCUGUAACUGAUGCUCCAGUAGCAUUCAUAAUGAAAGUACUAGAAUGGCCUAGAGGGGGGGUGAAUGGCCUAGAGGGGGGGUGAAUAGGCAAUUAACAAUUAUUUAAACAAUUAUUUGCAAUCAAUUUUCCUGGAAGUUGUUGAGGGAUUGGAAAAACCUAUCUAUCCCUAACCAACAGUAUAAAGCAUUUACCAUAUGCAAGCAUAAGAAUAAAUAACAGAAAAGUAAAGAACACAGGAAAAUGUUUACGCAGUAAAACCCUUAAAAGUGAGGUAAACAACUGCGGGCCUCGGGCCAAGUGCUUAAGCACACACUAUAAAAUAGUAAACAAAAUACAAGGUACACUUACAACCUCUCGGAUAACUCUGGACUCGGUUAUCUCUAGCUACACUCUUUUAGCCAGUUGAACUACCUCUCAGUAAUUUGUCUACAGCUUCUAAAUGUGCUCCACUUGUCUUGAAAACAUCGGUCUUGAAAACUCAAACAUAGUUGAUUUUCUCAACUGAACUCAUCGGUGUUUAAUACAAGAGAAUAUCAAGAAUGAAAUAUACUCAUGACUAACUUAAUCUCUUGAACUUUGAACUCAGACACACCACCUCAAAAACCACAGAACUCCUAUAUAUAUAGGAGGAACAAUAACCAAGUUUCUUCAGCUCGGUUGGAGUAAGACCACGAGGUCCAGAUGCACUUGCUCCCUACUUCUAUCUUUGACAGCAAGGUCUUCAUGAUUGCACUGAGUGGAUAUUAAGAUUAACAGCAAGGCUACUAGAUCGAAACCUUUUCUUUAACAGCAAGAUUUCCAUGAUAGAAAGAUGGAGAACCUAGCUGCCAUGUCCUUCCCUUUUCAUUUACGACAGCAAGGUCUCCAUGAUUGAAUUAAGUGGGCAGCAAGGAAAAGAUAUGGUUGCUUUCACCUUUCUUCUUCACUCGGAUCCAUCUCAAGGGGAUAUUAAUUACCUCUCCAAGAUUUUCUUCCUCACCCGGAUCCAUCUCAAGGGGAUAUUAAUUACCUCUUCAAGAUUUUCUUCCUCACCCGGAUCCAUCUCAAUGGGAUAUUGCCUCUCCUUGCCAAUAUGUUAAUACUAACAAAUCACCAGAAGAUCACAGCGCACAACCUGCAUGGACAGCAAACAUGUGUAGACUUCGAUGUGCAUGCCUAAAAAGCAAAAGUCACCAUCUCAAAGCAGAGCACAUAGAAAUAUAUAAUUAAGAUCAUCACAUGGCUUAUGAAUACUUUUGUGGUUAAUGGAAUGCCAACAACACAUGUUGUACUAA